UGGUCUGUCGUCUAGAGGCCCAAGACACGAGUCUCAUACGCUCGUUAUCGCUGGUUCGAAUCCAGCCAGACCUA
rnacentral:tRNA from 1 species